GAGAGACCUAGCCGCCUCCUCCCCACCCGCGCCUCCCUCUCCUCCUUCCCCGCCGCCGCCCGGCCUCCUCCACACCCGGGCCUCCCUCUCCUCCUUCCCUACCGCAGCCUGGCAUCCUCCACACCCGGGCCUCCCACUCCUCCUUUCCCGCCGCCGCGCGGCCUCCUCCCCACCCACGCCUCCCUCUCCUUCUUCCCCGCUGCCACCCGGCCUCCUCCCCUCACGGCCUCCUCCUUCCACCCCUCUGAUCUGGUGCCUCCCUCUAAUUCAUGUUCUUGUGAUUUGGAACGAUUUGUGUUUUGGGGGGCUUCAAUAUGGUGCUUCCCCUUUCCAUGUGCAGAGAAAAGGAGAAGAAGGGGUUGGAUGAGCAAGAAGCAGAAGGACUAGAAGAAGAAGAAGAAGAAGGGAAGGGAGGUGGGGCCAUAUGCAUGUCCAUGGAGGUACUCCUCUUUGGCGUAAUGGGCCACCAGACAAGCCAGUUCUCUGGAAUGCAUGUGGUUCGAGAUGGAGGAUAAAGGGUACAUUGGUGAAUUGCACACCGGCGCAUCGUCGGGAAGAUACUGACGUUGGCGAAGCUGGACCUGACAAGCUGAAGCUCAAUGGACAUUAUUGUUGCUGAUUACUGGUGAUAUGCUCAACUAAGUGCAGAUCAGUCUUUUACGUUAGAUGCGUUUGCAUGGACCAGUUGACAUGUUUUCUGUUUGCAAGUUCUUGCACAAUUAGAAACACCGUAAUGUAUUUCAAAUAUAAGAAACGCUGUAUUAUUAGCUUUUGCCCACUUAAAAUUGAAUGAAUGGCGUUCGUUUGACGGUGUCGAA